ACCGUGUGUUACAUCGCUUUCAAUAAAAUGACACUCGCGCGCUCCUGCAACUACACAAACCCCCUGCGCGUGUUUUUCAGAGUGGCGUAGGCGUCUGCAGCGCGCGAGUAACGAGAAACGACAUUUAAUAACGUUUCGCUUAUUUUUGCGAAGAAUAGAGAAGUUUAGCCUUUUUAACACAACCACGGCUUUCGAAGUAAACCGCAACGAACAACGACAUGCCGCUGUCAUUCAAAGGAAAGCUGCUGAAAAGCAUCGCGUGGGAGGAGCCUGUGCUCGACAGCCCUGUUGCACGAAUGUGCUCAGUCACGUCUUUUAUCUGCCACCCACCAUCAGAGAACCAACAGUCCUGCUAUCUUCUGCAUUGCAGAGUCUUGUGUCAUGGCAGCUGAUGUGAAAAAUUAGGACUUAAAAUGCGCCCCACAGAGCUGGCGGAUUCGGAGAGCCUUUGAUAUGUACUGUCGUGGUGCUACAUUCAUCUCCCAAGUUCACAAUUAAAACCCACUGCUUGCAGGCUGAGGAGAACGCUCAAUGUGAGCCAUCUGCGAGCAUCACGCCGACAAGGAGCGAACGCCCCCCACCCUGCAAGAGCAAGGCAUCUAAAACCCUGCAAGUUUGAUCAUCUGACCCCCAUCAUCCAGACUUUACACUUGGACCAGACAAGGUUAAUUUGAGCCUGCUGAUUUAUGAGCCUAUGCAAAGACGAGAAACAACCACGUCACCGCUGUACGAUGCACGAAACGACCUGAAGUGGCAUGGUGACGCUCUCUGGAGCCUGCGGUUAGAGAGUGUUUGUGCGUUUGCAUGAGCGUGUGCUUCCUUUGCAUAUUUGCAUUCAAAAUGUGUAAACAUGAGACUUUUAAAGAGGGUUUAAUGUACAGUUUGUUUGUCAGAUGCGGCCGGCAACCGGCCGAUGCAGGAUGUUGUUAUUUUUGACGUAACAUGGGUGACUAAAUAGGCUAAAUAGACUUUUUUCACUGCUUGACCCCAAACCAAAGUGUUGCCAAGGCUUUGCUAAGGUGUUCUGAGUGUUUUUUAUCUCGUGGCUAUGUGGUUGCCAAGUUGUUGUAGGUUGUUGCCAUAGAGUUACUAUGCAUGGUGUUCUGAGUGCUUUUUAGGUCAGGGCUGUGGUUGCUUAGGUGAUAUGAAUGUUUUUAGCAUGUUACAUGUUGUUAUGUGCUGUUGCACAAGUUGUUCUACGUGGUUGCUAGGGUGUUUUUGAUGUUGCUAAGGCAUUCUAAAUCUUUGUUAGCAUGGGGCUAUGUUGUUGCUAAGGUGUUCUGGGUGGUUGCCAGAUUGUUGCUAUUAAUUUGCUAAAGUGUUCUGAGCUAUUUUUUAUGGGUUAUGUGGUUGCUAAGGUGUUGGAAGUGAUUGUCUAAGUGAAGUUGCUAGGGUGUUCUGAGUAUUUUUAGCAUAGGGCUAUGUGGUUAAGGUGUUCUGGGUGGUUGCCAGAUUGUUGCUAUUAAUUUGCUAAAGUGUUCUGAGCUAUUUUUUAUGGGUUAUGUGGUUGCUAAGGUGAUGGAAGUGAUUGUCUAAGUGAAGUUGCUAUGGUGUUAUGCGUGUUUUAGAAUGUGUCUACGUGGUUGCUAAGGUGUUCUUGGGGGUUGAUAGAGUGUUACUAUGCAGUUGCUAAGGUGUUCUGAGUGUUUUUUAGGACAUGGCUGUCCUGUUGCUAAAGUGUCCCUGAGGUUGCCAGUGUGUUACUAUGCAGUUGCUAAGAUAAUUUUUUGCAUGUGGCUAUGUGGUUGCUAAGCUGAUCUGUGUUGUUCCCAAAGUGUAAGUAUGCGGUUGCUAAGGUGUUCUGAGAAUUUAGCAUGUUAUGUGGUUGCUUCUGGGUUCUGGAUGAGAGGUAAGAGCUCAAGUCUUCAUGAUUUUCCGUUCCCUAAAAAUGUUCUCUUCAAUGUAAGUCUAUGGGAUGUAUUUGCUAGAUUCUGUUUAAAACAGUAAUAGCGCCGUUAGCAACACACAACACAAUCUGAGAUUUCAUUCAUGCCUAUAGCACAAACUCUGAGGUACAUCUUUAGACCAAUAAGCCACAAUGACAACCCCCAUCCCAGAGAAGAGCUGCCCCUCUCCUCUGCUCCAAACAAAAUUCUUUGGGGAGUCAUCUUAUAUCACCCUUUGAACGUGCAUUGAACUGUAAAACCAACCUAUUGGAAGAAAAAUAAACGAAUUGGGGAUGAGAAGAGAGAGAGAGGGAGAGAUUGAUGGGGGUGGGGGAGCCAAAGGAGGAGAAUUAUAAUUCUUCGCAGGCCCUCUGUAUUAACCCGAAAACCAUCGCUGUCAGUAGCUCGGGGAGCGAAGCGCAAGGGCCAAACAUUCGGUGCUAAUUGGCACUUUGUAAGCUCUGAGCCUUCCUUUUGUGAUAGGUGGAGGGGACAGAAGAUGGGGUAAGAGAGAGAGAGGGAGAGAAAGCAGGUUCUUGUUCUUGCUCGGCCUUGUUGAGGGUAUUUACGGUUCACUUCUUAUCCCUUGUUAAUUGGUCUUUCUCUUCUUUAUAGAGGAUAGAAAACGAGAUCCCCCACCCUGCCACACGUGAGUCCCUCAAAACGGGGGAAAAGUGGAUGGCUCGGGCACGAUAAAGACGCACACCACGCGUAAUUGGGCAUUGGACUUCAUUAAGAUCAGAUACACGCCGAAAACAUGUCACGUCGAAUAAUGCCUGCGAACACAUUCGGACCCAUGGCAGAUGACCCCUGAUGAUGUAAUCAAUACAUCACCGUCGUCCACACUGAGACGGCAACUUUCAUUCAAACCCAAGUGGAUGAAUUGAAAUAGGGGGUUGUUUAGUCAUGUGAUGCAGUCAAGUGACCCAUUCAACAAACAUUUUGUUUGAGCAUUGUUGUGCAAGCUAUUUACUUUUAAUAGCAUUGUUAAAGGGACAGUUCACCAACAUUGUCUCCCCCUCAUGUCAUUCAAACCUGUAUGACUUUCUUUCUUAUGCAGAACACAAAAGAAGAUAUUUUAAAGAAAGUUGGUAACCAAACAACAUUGACCCCCAUUGACUUCCAUUUUAUGGACACAAAACCACAGAGACAUUUCU